GAAAUGCGAUAAGUAGUGUGAAUUGCAGAAUUCAGUGAAUCAUCGAAUCUUUGAACGCACAUUGCGCCCCUUGGUAUUCCAUGGGGCAUGCCUGUUCGAGCGUCAUUUGUACCCUCAAGCUCUGCUUGGUGUUGGGUGUUUGUCCCGUCUCCGCGCGUGGACUCGCCCCAAAGUGAUUGGCAGCCGGCGUACUGGUCCCGGAGCGCAGCACAUGUCGCGCAAACGAGUGCCUUGGUACGGCGGCGUCCAUAAGCCCCUCUCUCACGCUCUUGACCUCGGAUCAGGUAGGGAUACCCGCUGAACUUAAGC
rnacentral:misc_RNA from 1 species